UUGGUGCGGCCAACCGACAUGGGGCUGUCUCAUCACUCUCCCUCCCGUCAUUGAAUUUGUCGGGGUUGGGAUGCUUGUGAUCGGUUGCCUGUGUAGUUCUACCUUGUUGUGGGUAGCGAAGUUGUCCCUCAAUUGAUUUUUGCUUGCCUUUUUGACUUUUUUUGUCGUUUGGGCAGCCGAAAUGAUGUAAUCCUUGUGUAGGUGCGUAGUCGAAUGGCUUUGUUGCUAUCACUUGGAUUUUGUCGACUCUCACGGAUGCAGUGCUUUGUGCUAGCGCUGUGUGACUUUGCCUCACAGAGUUUGGGAGGUCCCUUGUACGAAUCAUAGAUUUCGGAUGCCGUUUGUCGUGUUGCUUGUUUGGCACGCAAAUCGUAUUGUUCUGCCUGGAGUCGGGAUGAUGAAAGUCAGAAUGAAGUGUCUGGGUGUGUUUGCGUACAUGGGGAAUGCCUCUCUGAUAGUAUGAGCAACGAUUUCUGGCUUGUGUCCUGCGAAGGCCUGCCCGUUUGGGUUGUUGCUGGAGCUG
rnacentral:misc_RNA from 1 species